ACACAUUCAAUAUUUAUUUAAGACAAUUUUGUUAAAUAGCCCAUAAAAUCUGUAUUUGGGUUACAUUUCAUGUACUAAAAUUAUUUUAGCGAGUUCAAACAUUUGAAGACUGUGUCAACAUCUUUACAUUUUGCGCCAGAAAAAAUGAGAGAAUAGGGACGAAAUAAACAAAAUAUUCUUAAAAUUGUACUUUUAUCUCGGAUUCUUAUUUAUUCACGUUUCUGCCACGUAGUUCUAGGAAGAAGCCAUUUUCGUAAUCUACUACACCAAAAAUAUGCCAGAAGAUUUCUGCACUCUUGGCACGUUUUAGGCUCUGAGCGGUUGGAUAUCCAUCAACGCCCGGAUGCCAGCUACGUCGAGUUCUAGAAGUUUACUUGUCCGCGUGGUUUCUUUAUAGCAAAGCCUCGUGAAACCUAGGUAACGUGCCUCUAAAUCCGAUGUCCCGACAUUUCCGAAGUAUUAUAAUACGCCUUCUCGAGGUCAAAGUACACGAUCAGAUCAUGUUCUCUAUUCAAAAACGUCUUCUGAAUAUCGCUCCCGUGGAGGCAAGCAUAAUCGACUGUGGAACGAUGUCUAUGGAAUCUCGCCUGAUACUGGUUGUGAACCCAUUCGUCUCAAGAAACCAGAUCAAACGACCGUUUAUCAUGUACUCAAGGAGCUAAUGCAGGCAGAUAGGGAUAUCGGUCUGUAUCUCGUGGCCAGGUUCGGGUUCCUGCUCUCCUUAAGCACAGGAAUGAUGAGUGCCUCAGACCAACGGUCGGAAUAGGAGUCCGUAUUUCAUAUGUUGUUGAAGAAAUUCAACAGGCCAUGCUUCGCACACUGGUUAUGUAGCAUUUCAUAUGGGAUAUCGUCGUUCCCGGAGCUUCAAUGCCGGGUAAAGAAACAUAGUUUAAUACAGAAUUUUUUUACAACAAAUAUCAA